GCCCGGGUGGUGGAAUGGUAGACACUGGGGAUUUAAAAUCCCUUGCCCGUAAGGGCGUGCGGGUUCAAGUCCCGCCCCGGGCACCA
rnacentral:tRNA from 2 species